CUCUCACUGCUGUGGCUGAUGGAGGAGAAGCAUGUCUCUAUACAGAGACAUGCUCCUCCUCCAUCAGCCACAGCAGUGAGCAGGG
rnacentral:miRNA from 1 species